rnacentral:pre_miRNA from 1 species
AUACUACUCCCUCCGAUCCAUAUUAAUUGUCGAAAUAUUACAUGUAUCUAGACGCUUUUUAGGCAUAGAUACAUCCAUAUUUUGGCAAAUUUGAGACAAUUAAUAUGGAUCGGAGGGAGUAUGAA